rnacentral:lncRNA from 1 species
CAAUCAUUUCCCUGUGGAUAUGCCCUUUGCAUCUAAGUUAAUUGCAACAUCUCUUCUCUGCCUAUGCACGUGUGAUACUUUGACUCUCUUUGAAUCAGUUGAAAGAAACAGCUUACUCAUUAUUAAUAAGGCAUCAUGGAGUGCAGUGCCCAGUGGACUCAUCAGACAAAGAAGGGUAAAGUCUGUUACCAGAAAAGUAAGUGCACCUCGCAGGUGGCUUCAGCCCACGGAUCUCUUAUCUGGCUCACAAACGUCAAUCCCAAAUGAUGAUAGAACUAUAAAUGAUUCCACAUUGUGGCAAGUGGGUCUCUGCCUGACAAUUUUGGCAAUCUCUCUAAAGUGAAUUAUA